AAAGAGGGGAGAAAUGACAUUUCCUCCCAGCACUAUCACCUGCAAUCUGCGCGGUGAUAACCUUUCCAUCCGUUGUGAAAAGUCACCUGCCACGUGGACGGGCUCGUUCUCCCGCACCUGCUCUGCUCUUAUCUCCGUUCCUCUGGCACCUUUUCCAGGGCUGUGUGACAAAAGGGACGCUGCCACUCCAGCUCCUGCGCCUGUCACCGCCUGUCCUGAGCGUGCCUGUGGCAGGAUGUUCCUCUGCCCCUUUCCAGCUCCUGUCACUCCAGUUAAAUGCGACUUCUAGAAGAGGAGCUUGAACUUUGGAGAGCGAAGGCAGAGGAAAAGCAGCCCCCUCAGAGAAUACAAAUUGUUCUGUGAGCAGCAGCUGGACAGAAAACAGCAGCUCCAUCCUGAGCAACAGCUUCAUCUGUCUGUGCAGAGCCCUGCUCCUCUCCCUGCAGAGCAGGAACUUGCCAGAGGCUUUUCCUUUCAGCAGAGCCCCCACCAGCUGUGCCCACACUCCCUGAAGGAUGCAGAGGUUUGUGGAGGCCGAGGCUGGCAGGAAUGAAUCCCUGGCAGAGCAGCAGCCUCUGGGGGCUGGGAUUAUCAAGGUUGGUUUAGCAACAAGCUCUGCUCAAGCACAUCAGACAUGACUGGACAUCUCCGAGGGCCAGCCAGCAGUGCUGAGGAAUUCCAAAAACAUCCUCCUGCAAAGCACAGCCUGCUCUCUUCAUCCCAGUUUAACCAGUUAAAGGCACAGCAAAGCUGUGGUGGGUGCCCACCAUGGCGUGCAGCUGUUUCUGCAAAUUCAGGGUUUACAAUUUCUUCAUUAAAUUAUAU